AGAGUUUGAUCCUGGCUCAGGAUGAACGCUGGCGGCGUGCUUAACACAUGCAAGUCGAACGAGAAUCAACGGAUUGAGGAUUCGUCCAAAUGAAGUUGAGGAAAGUGGCGGACGGGUGAGUAACGCGUGAGGAACCUGCCUCGGAGUGGGGAAUAACAGUUGGAAACAGCUGCUAAUACCGCAUAAUGCAACGAAGUCGCAUGACUUUGUUGCCAAAGAUUUAUCGCUCUGAGAUGGCCUCGCGUCUGAUUAGCUAGUUGGCGGGGUAACGGCCCACCAAGGCGACGAUCAGUAGCCGGACUGAGAGGUUGAACGGCCACAUUGGGACUGAGAUACGGCCCAGACUCCUACGGGAGGCAGCAGUCGGGAAUAUUGCGCAAUGGAGGAAACUCUGACGCAGUGACGCCGCGUAUAGGAAGAAGGUUUUCGGAUUGUAAACUAUUGUCGUUAGGGAAGAGAAAGGACAGUACCUAAGGAGGAAGCUCCGGCUAACUACGUGCCAGCAGCCGCGGUAAUACGUAGGGAGCGAGCGUUAUCCGGAUUUAUUGGGUGUAAAGGGUGCGUAGGCGGCUUUAUAGGUCUGUGGUUUAAGCCCGAAGCUUAACUUCGGUUCGCCACAGAAACCGUUUAGCUUGAGUAUGGUAGAGGCAAGUGGAAUUUCUAGUGUAGCGGUUAAAUGCGUAGAUAUUAGAAGGAACACCAGUGGCGAAGGCGGCUUGCUGGGCCAUUACUGACGCUGAGACACGAAAGCGUGGGGAGCAAAUAGGAUUAGAUACCCUAGUAGUCCACGCCGUAAACGAUGAGUACUAAGUGUCGGGUAACCGGUGCUGAAGCUAACGUAUUAAGUACUCCGCCUGAGUAGUACGGUCGCAAGGCUGAAACUCAAAGGAAUUGACGGGCACCCGCACAAGCGGUGGAGCAUGCUGUUUAAUUCGAUGCUACGCGAAGAACCUUACCUAGGCUUGACAUCCCUGGCAAAGCUAUAGAGAUAUAGUGGAGGUUAUCCAGGUGACAGGUGGUGCAUGGUUGUCGUCAGCUCGUGUCGUGAGAUGUUCGGUUAAGUCCGAUAACGAGCGCAACCCUUAUCAUUAGUUACUAACAUUUAGUUGAGUUCUCUAGUGAGACUGCCGGUAACAAACCGGAGGAAGGUGGGGAUGACGUCAAAUCAUCAUGCCCCUUACGUCUAGGGCUACAGGCGUGCUACAAUGGCCGAUACAAAAAGAAGCAAUACCGCGAGGUUGAGCAAAUCUCUAAAAUCGGUCUCAGUUCGGAUUGGAGUCUGCAACUCGACUCCAUGAAGUUGGAAUCGCUAGUAAUCCUGAAUCAGAAUGUCAGGGUGAAUACGUUCCCGGGUGUUGUACACACCGCCCGUCACGCCAUGGGAGUCUGUAAUACCUGAAGUCGGUAGCCUAACCCGCAAGGGAGGGGGCCGCCCAGGGUAGGACAGGUGACUGGGGUGAAGUCGUAACAAGGUAUCCCUACCGGAAGGUGGGGAUG
rnacentral:rRNA from 1 species